CUAGCCGUAAACGAUGGAUACUAGGCGUUGUGAGUAUCGACCCUCACAGUGUCGUAGCUAACGCGUUAAGUAUCCCGCCUGGGGAGUACGCGCGCAAGCGUGAAACUCAAAGGAAUUGACGGGGGCCCGCACAAGCGGUGGAGUAUGUGGUUUAAUUCGAUGCAACGCGAAGAACCUUACCAGGACUUGACAUGUCGCGAAUCUCAGGGAAACUUGAGAGUGCCUUCGGGAGUGCGAACACAGGUGGUGC
rnacentral:rRNA from 1 species